GGUCAAUGGAAGUUCAUGUUGGUAAAAGGAAAAGUCAUCAGAGAACCAAGUCACUUGGGAGAGCAAUCGAGUACGUAAUGACAGAAACUAUUUGUGCAGCCAAGGUGGGUGUUUCACCAUGCUGCCCAGACUGCUCUCACACUCCGAGAUUUAAUCAGUUCUGCCUCAAGCUCCUGAACAACUGGGACUGCACAGCCUCAGUAAGAAACUUCUUGCUUAAAUCUACGUAUCAGCUGUAAAGGACAGAAUGCAAAAAGUAGUUGCCAACUGCAGUCACAAAUGUAGGAAAUUCAUCUCCACAAUUAAGCGGCACACUCAGAGCUUCUCUUUGUAAUGUCCGGAAAGAACGCCCCACCCUCCAGAAACCUACAAUACAGCAGGCCUCCAUGAGAGCGUCAGGAACUUCAGGCACAUAUGGAAUGGCGAUCGCAUGACGUGUCCUGCAGAAUUGCAGUGGGGUCUCCGUGGGAAUGGACGAGGUUCAUGGACACGGCUAUGGCCAGAGACUUGAUGUGCUCCCAUCCUCACCAUCCGUCAGGCAAGGAGCGUUUGUAUCCACGGCAAGUGUUCAGGAAUUAAUAACUGGUGUGGACUGGGAGGAACUUCAGCUCUCCUGCUUAGACU